ensembl:miRNA
AUCCAGGUCUGGGGCAUGAACCUGGCAUACAAUGUAGAUUUCUGUGUUUGUUAGGCAACAGCUACAUUGUCUGCUGGGUUUCAGGCUACCUGGAA